rnacentral:rRNA from 1 species
AAGUCGAACGGUAGCACAGAGGAGCUUGCUCCUUGGGUGACGAGUGGCGGACGGGUGAGUAAUGUCUGGGAAACUGCCCGAUGGAGGGGGAUAACUACUGGAAACGGUAGCUAAUACCGCAUAAUGUCGCAAGACCAAAGAGGGGGACCUUCGGGCCUCUUGCCAUCGGAUGUGCCCAGAUGGGAUUAGCUAGUAGGUGGGGUAACGGCUCACCUAGGCGACGAUCCCUAGCUGGUCUGAGAGGAUGACCAGCCACACUGGAACUGAGACACGGUCCAGACUCCUACGGGAGGCAGCAGUGGGGAAUAUUGCACAAUGGGCGCAAGCCUGAUGCAGCCAUGCCGCGUGUAUGAAGAAGGCCUUCGGGUUGUAAAGUACUUUCAGCGAGGAGGAAGGUGUUGAGGUUAAUAACCUCAGCAAUUGACGUUACUCGCAGAAGAAGCACCGGCUAACUCCGUGCCAGCAGCCGCGGUAAUACGGAGGGUGCAAGCGUUAAUCGGAAUUACUGGGCGUAAAGCGCACGCAGGCGGUCUGUCAAGUCGGAUGUGAAAUCCCCGGGCUCAACCUGGGAACUGCAUCC